rnacentral:ncRNA from 1 species
UCCUGGGCCACGUGCUUAGGAUGCUGAUGUAAUUGACAGACGAAGGAAUCUGGUGAGAAUCCAGAACGGUCGCGCCACUGUGAAAAGUCAGACCCUGCGCCUGUCACCUCUU